rfam:Triticum aestivum genome assembly, contig: Triticum_aestivum_CS42_TGACv1_scaffold_112456_2AS
CUGCAUCUGGGGGGUAAGCAGUCCCUUACACCUGAUAACCAUCCUCUUCACUUUUUCUGAUGAAACCUUCUGUUUUUAGCUGAACAUCAAGGGAUGAGAUAUUU